rnacentral:rRNA from 1 species
CCUACGGGUGGCAGCAGUGAGGAAUAUUGGUCAAUGGGCGGGAGCCUGAACCAGCCAAGCCGCGUGAGGGAAGAAGGUACAGCGUAUCGUAAACCUCUUUUGUCAGGGAACAAAGGCGGGGACUAGUCCCCGGAUGAGGGUACCUGAAGAAAAAGCAUCGGCUAACUCCGUGCCAGCAGCCGCGGUAAUACGGAGGAUGAGAGCGUUACCAGGUUUUAUUGGGGUAAAGGGGUGCGCAGGCGGCCUUUUAAGUCAGCGGGAAAAGCCCGGGGUUCAACCCCGGCGAGCCUUUGAAACUGGCGGGCUGGAGUUGGAGAGACGUACGCGGAAUGCGCGGUGUAGCGGUGAAAUGCUUAGAUA